AUAUUUGUAACAAUGCGCUUUUCAGCCCUGAAUAACAGUAACAGCUAUUUGAUAAUUGAUUGCAUGCAUAGUAUACUACACUUUCCAUUGAACAAUUACCAGUUACCAUAAAUUGACAAAUUGUAUGAUGUAAUCAAAUGCUCACACACUAGCUGCUUUCAGACACACGUGUAAGUCAAUUUCACUAGAUUUCCUGAAGCUACUUGUUGUCAUAAUGUUACCUACAUACUCAUUCAUAAUUGAAGUAGGGCAGAUGAGGAGUUGUAUUAUAGGCACCAAAACCAUACGAGGUUGGUUGUGUGCACCAACGAGCGGGCUCGUGAUGUCCUCAUGGAGUGCCACGACAACCUGGGCACUGGAGGUCAUCCAUGGAGGCGCAGAACCUUGGACAAGAUCAUGGCAUCCUACCACUGAGCAACCUUGCAAGAGGAUGUGAACAAAUGGGAGAGUUUUGGGACUUUUUGAAAGGUUGAUGAAUGUCCCCGCUGUCAGCGUCAUGAGGUGAUGAAGACUGUGGCACCUGUCCUUCAUCCAAUUGAGGCAUGGAGUGUCCUUGGGGUUGACCUAAUUGGCCCCCUUCCCACUUCCGCAAAGGGCAAAAGAUUUAUUCCGACAGCAACAGACCUUUUCAUAAAGUGGGAUGUGGCAAAACCCCUGUGCACCAAAACAGCCGUUGAGGUGUCCGGAAAAGUUGUGAACAUUCUCCUCGACUUCGGUCUGGUCGACCGAAUUAUAACAGACCAAAGACGGAAAUUUGUGAAUGAGGUACAGUUAUGUUUAUAGGCAAGCUGGAU
ensembl:lncRNA